CAUUGAGGUGAUGAUAGCUUCUUCCGAAUUAUCUUUGUGUCGACCUUGAAGUAUCAGACUACAAUUAUCUGAUCAGUG